CUCAAGUCUCAGCAUCAAACUUUCUCCUGGAACAGAACCUCUUUCAAACCACAUGGAAGCAGGAGGAGGAUGGAGGAUGGGGAUGCUGCCAGCUGCUGCCCGGAGACAGCCCUCCUCCCCCCACCCCGCUUCCCUCAGCCCCCACCCUCUUCCUCACGGGCAAAGCAGCCCAGACAGCGCAGCCCCGCCCAGCCCCACCCACCCCGCUCACCAACCCACCACCCAGUCGAUGGAACAGGAGCUUCACAAAGCCACUUUCCGGGCGCUGCGGUGCCCUGGGGCGAGGGGGCGAGAGGCGCUGGGUACCUUUAGGAAGAGGCCAGGACACCGGCGCCCGAGGAGACCUGCAGCAUCGCCUGGACGCCGCCGCCGCCACCACCGCCGCCGCGGGAGGCUACUUGGCUGCGUGGAGAGCCGGGCUGGCGGGGACCGGGCGCCCUCGCCACCGCCUGCGCCGCUCGCGCUCCCUGCGCUGCUCUCCUGCGCCCGGGCUCGGCUGCCCGGCGACCGCCACUGUCAAGCGGAGCCCCGCCCCCAGCGCGCCGGCCAGCAGCGGACCCCCGGGACGCGCCGCCUCCGGGAUUGGCUGCCGGCGCCGCUGGCUCCGCCCCCGCCCUCCGCCCCUCCCUCGCCGGUGGCGCGCGCCCGGCCGGCCCUCUCCAGGGGCGCCGCGGGAGGGUGCGGUCCCGGGCUGGGCGAGGCUUCCUGCGGGCACGGCGCGCGGAGCUCGGCCGCUGGCCUCUGCAGUUUCUCUCUCCUUUGCUAAUCUAGAAAUAAAUAGACAACCAAAAGGAAAAGAAAAAGAGGAAGCAUCUUCUCUAGGGCCCUUCGCGGGAAGGGCAGCGGCUGGCAGCAGUUCUGGUGUGAGAUCUUUAAAGACAUUUCUUAAGGAAAUCCAGGAAAGGCUACCUGGGGAUGUCACUCCAGUGACGAAAUGAAACUAGAGAAGCGCCAGCAUUAAUGAUGAAUGCAAUCAAUGCAAUGCUGUCCCAGGACGGGUUUGGUGUCUGG
rnacentral:lncRNA from 1 species